GGACAGGUCCACUCCUACAUGACUUCCAUUUCAGCCUUCCUUACCCUUUCCUUCCCAGGCGGGGCUUUGUAGGCCCUCCCCUUCUCUGCACCAACUCUGGAGCUCUGGGAGUUGAGUCACCUCUCUAACACACUCAAGGCACAGCAGGACUGGCAAGAGGAAGGGUGCAGAGGCAGGAUUUCACCCACUCAGGAACCAAGUUUCCUGAACUCCAGAUAGCAGUCCACCAGAGACAGAAGACAGACAGGGUGGAUUGUUUCCUUUUAAUUAAACAAUUAAAGACA